GACGAACGCUGGCGGCGUGCCUAAUACAUGCAAGUUGAGCGAUGAAGAUUGGUGCUUGCACCAAUUUGAAGAGCAGCGAACGGGUGAGUAACGCGUGGGGAAUCUGCCUUUGAGCGGGGGACAACAUUUGGAAACGAAUGCUAAUACCGCAUAAUAACUUUAAACAUAAGUUUUAAGUUUGAAAGAUGCAAUUGCAUCACUCAAAGAUGAUCCCGCGUUGUAUUAGCUAGUUGGUGAGGUAAAGGCUCACCAAGGCGAUGAUACAUAGCCGACCUGAGAGGGUUGUCGGCCACAUUGGGACUGAGACACGGCCCAAACUCCUACGGGAGGCAGCAGUAGGGAAUCUUCGGCAAUGGACGAAAGGCUGACCGGGCAACGCCGGGUGAGUGAAGGAGGUUUUCGGAUCGGAAAACUCUGUUGGUAGAGAAGGACGUUGGUGAGAGUGGAAAGCUCAUCAAGUGACGGUAACUACCCAGAAAGGGACGGCUAACUACGUG
rnacentral:rRNA from 1 species